rnacentral:rRNA from 1 species
CCCUAUUAUUAAGAGUAGAAACGAGUUAGUGAGUAGGAAUCACUUCUGAAAACUAUCCAGAAUGGCGGUUUUUUUUAUUUUCAGGUAAAUGUGUUUUUGAAACGAAAUUACACGAAGAUCUUUCUUACUCUGGAAACCCAUCCUGUACACCGCCGUCUGAAGGGUCAAUUUAAAAAAUUAGCCCCCAUUCCUUUUAAAGAAAUAAGUCAGGUAAGGUGCAGACUAUGGGUAAGAAGAAAUGCAUUUCCUUAAAAAUCGGAGAGGGGGUUGAAAAACCACUUCAAAGUAGAAUUUGAAAGUAAGAAUUUUUUAUCAUAAAACUCUGAAUUAAUNNCAAAAAAAUGUACACAUCGCCCGUCGCUC